GUGGUAACUGAGUAGUUCUGUCUUCAGGUCUAGGCUUUAGGAUGUGGUAACUGAGUAGUUCAUUCAUCCUUCAGAUCUAGGCUUUAGGACGUGGUAACUGAGUAGUUCUGUCUUCAGAUCUAGGCUUUAGGACGUGGUAACUGAGUAGUUCUGUCUUCAGAUCUAGGCUUUAGGACGUGGUAACUGAGUAGUUCUGUCUUCAGGUCUAGGCUUUAGGACGUGGUAACUGAGUAGUUCAUUCAUCCUUCAGAUCUAGGCUUUAGGACGUGGUAACUGAGUAGUUCUGUCUUCAGAUCUAGGCUUUAGGACGUGGUAACUGAGUAGUUCUGUCUUCAGGUCUAGGCUUUAGGACGUGGUAACUGAGUAGUUCUGUCUUCAGGUCUAGGCUUUAGGAUGUGGUAACUGAGUAGUUC